UGAAUAACUAGGUUAUUUAACUUAGUUAAGUAUGUUUGUGGUUAGAGGUACUAAAUGACUAAAAUUAUACCCAUUUAUGUUCUAGUGACUAAAACAAGGGACUAAAGGUGGGAUUAUAAGAAAGUUGAGCUAUUAUAUGUAAAAUGAACACACAAAUACACACACACGUACAUGUGUUCGAGAAGGAGCCAGGAACUCCUUGAAGGUUCCUAAACCCUAAUCAUGAAGAUCACCAAAUUGAGGGGUUAAUUGUAGCUCAAAUUCAAGAAGGAACAUGGAUUAAUGAUCACCUAAGUAUUUCCUACAACAAUGAGGUGUUGAUGAUAAGCAUCAUGUCAAGAGGACGCAAGCACGAAUGGCAAUCGGGUCAAGAGGAGACAAGGAAAUGGUCACGAAUACGGACACUUAAGGUAGUACGAAUCACAGAUUUUCAUUCCAAGGAGUAGCGAUCAAAGACCGAGUCACAAGUCAGAUUGUACGGGAAUACUUGACUAUGUAAAUUGAUAGUUAUAAGCUAUACUUUCGUUAUGUAAAUUAAGUAUAAAAGAUGCAUGUAAUGUAA